CAAUUUCAUUGUAUUUUUUAUUCGGUACAUGGUAAUUUAACCGCAAAAUUAUUUUUUCUGUGCAUUACGUCAUCACGGACAUUUAUUUUAAUCCGCAAAAAGUAAAUGUAAUGCAAACAACUCUGGUGGGAAAAUGGAGCAUAUUGUUUGUAUGCAGAUUUGGAUGGAAACCAAGCCAUUGACAUACUUGUUAGAUUACACAGGCUUUGCCAGGAGUCCACACCACACACACGAAUAAUGGUAACACCUUCAGCAUUCUGCAUGUGCCUGCAACACCACAGACGGCCAGCAGAUAUAACCCUUGCUUGACUUCCAUCAAUAAAACUAAGGCCAAGAAAGAAUUUGUAAUUUCUCAAAUGUUUCCCAAAUUGCACCUAAGGUUUUGAUUAUUAGAGUCUGUAAAUGUCAGAUUCAAAUUUAAUAAGUAGCCACAUUUUUUAAAUGUAAAUUCAAAGCAGAUGUAUUUAACAGUUUGUCACUCCUCUGAAGGGAGGGACUGUAUGACUGAUCUUUAGUAGUGGCAAUGGUUAUUAAUGGAACUGAUUAUUCCAGUGAAUUCUAAACAAUUUGAGUCAAUGGGUCUGUUUGGCUGCAAGGCUGGUGUCAGUCUGGGAACACCCACUGUCUCUUUCCAGCUCCCCUCCCUCUCCUCAUCUCUCUAUCCAACAUCAGUCUGAGCUCCACACCUCCUCAGGACAGACCUGCAGUACACCCAGAAUUCUGUGAGGUCUCAUCAGAUCUGGAUUUUCCUCAUUGCCAUCUGAUCAAGAUCCAACAGGUUCUGGGUAUAAAGGCUCAUCACAUCAGUUUACUGGAUCCACAAGCACAUCUACCUACAAUUUGAUACUUUCUCAUUCUAAACUGAGUUGAAGGGGAUCUCUCCAUACCAGGCCAUGCGGGUGAGCCGGGUGUUACAGCUGUCCGUCUGCCUGGUGGGCCUCAGCCUGGCAUGGCACUCCCCAUCACCAGGUAAACCCUCCAUAGAGGCCAGGUUCCUGUGGCCCAGAUACAGGUGCUUUCUGUGGGGCUGCUCCAAAUGCUCCAGGGGGUGCAGGAGAGUGCCUGGAGGAUGGAGAGGCAGGGUGACCAAGUGUCAGAGGAGCUGGUGGGAGACACCCAGGCUGUGGAGAGGUUACGAGAGCAAGGUGUGCAGGUAGGAAGGACCCAAAGGCAGGUGACGAAGAACCUCCAGAUGAUGACCGCACAGAGCGACAGGCUGGAGAAUGCAGCCCAGGAUGUGCAGCUGGGACUGGAGACUUUAUUGGCCGAGCAAGGUGCCUUGGAGCUCAGGAUGUGCCGUGUCCUGGAGAGGGUGCAGAGCAUAACCAAGCCAGUUCUAAGGAUGGAAAAACAGCUUAAUAUGAACCUGAUGAAGGCGUCUCGUAUCAGAGGGGAGAGGCCUCCCACCAGCGCUGAGGGCCGAUUCUGAUGAUGGCUCUGGCCCUUGUCUGGGCAACAACCACAGCUGCAUCAACAUAAACACUCCAUUCAAAACAACAAGAAAACAACAUAGUUAUAGUCGAAAUCUGAGAAAGAAAGAAACAUAGCAUUAUUCAUACAAUAUUCAAGCUUAAUUUCUUCAUCCAGAUACUAUGAGAUGAUCUGAUUGGGAUUUUAAAAGGUAGACAUCCUUGUUGGGUAAUCUCCAAAGUGUUGUGGCUCUGUGUUAAUGUUUAAGGUUGAUAUUUGGAAGCCUUGUAUUGCAAUCCCUUGUCAGCUGGUGCCUCUAGGGCAAUUCAGGCAGAUGUUAGAGGGACCUUUUACUGAAGAAUGUGUUUGUUUCAUACAAUUGUGUUUUGCUUUUGUUGUUUUGUUUUCAUGCAUUGUGUAAUUGAUGUGUAUAGAUAUCCAUAGUGUAAUGGUUGUUUAUUGAAGUGUUCAUGCAGGGCUCAUCUACAAAAGAGACCUUGGUCUCAGCAUGACUCAAUGCUUAAAACUGCAAUAUGUAACUUUUUGGGAAACCCCACCAAAUUGACAUAGACAUAUGUGUUAUAGAUCUGUCAUUUGCAUUGAAAGCAAGUCUAAGAAGCCGUAGAUCUUUUCUAUGAGCACUAUUUCUAUGCUACCUGUGCUUAAGUUUUGUUUUUGCGUCUUUUACUUUUGCUUUUGUACACCAGCUUCAAAUAGCUGAAAAUACAAUAUUUUGGGCUAUGGAAAAAUAUAUUUUACACUGAUUUAGAUGGUACAGUGAUUCUCUACACUAUAUUGCUUGUUUUGCCACAUAAACUGAAAUUAGGCAAACUAAUAGAAUUUUAGCAACCAGUACAUUUCUGCAUAGUGCAUCUUUAAAUAAAGGCAAACCUUUUUUAAAUAAAUGCAACCACAACCAAAUAAACAGACUCAAGGUAAUGGACUGGAUCAGACUGGCUGGAAAAAGAAUAUUCCUGACAACUUUGGCUGAUUGGAUAAUUUAUUUAUUUAUUUCACCUUUAUUCAACCAGGUAGGCUAGUUGAGAACAAGUUGUCAUUUACAACUGCGACCUGGCCAAGAUAAAGCAAAGCAGUGCGACACAAACAACAGCCCAGAGUUACACAUGGAAUAAACAAACAUACAGUCAAUAAUACAAUAGGGAAAGUCUAUAUACAGUGUGUGCAAAUGAGGUAGGAUAAGGGGGGUGAGGCAAUAAAUAGGCCAUAGUGGCAAAAUUACUACGGUAUGGCAAAUUAAACACUGGGGUGAUAGAUGUGCAGAAGAUAAGUGUGCAAGUAGCGGUACUGGGGUGCAAAGGAGCAAAAUAAAUAACAUAAAUAACAAUAUGGUGAUGAGGUAGUUGGAUAGGCUAUUUACAGAUUGGCUAUGUACAGGUGCAGUGAUCUGUGAGCUGCUCUGACAGCUGGUGCUUAAAGCUAGUGAGGGAGAUAUGAGUCUCCAGCUUCAGAGAUUUUUACAGUUCAUUCCAGUCAUUGGCAGCAGAGAACUGGAAGGAAAGGCGGCUGAAGGAGGAAUUGGCUUUGGGGGUGACCAGUGAACUAUACCUGCUGGAGCGCGUACUGUGGGUGGGUGCUUCUAUGGUGACCAGUGAGCUGAGAUAAGGUGGGGCUUUACCUGGCAACGACUUAUAGAUGACCUGGAGCCAGUGGGUUUGGCGACGGAUAUGAAGCGAGGGCCAGCCAACGAAAGCAUACAGGUCGCAGUGGUGGGUAGUAUAUGGGGCUUUGGUGAUAAAACAGAUGGCACUGUGAUAGACUGCAUCCAAUUUGCUGAGUAGAAUGUUGGAGGCUAUUUUGUAAAUGACAUCACCAAAGUCAAGGAUCGGUAGGAUAGUCAGUUUUACGAGGGUGUGUUUGGCAGCAUGAGUGAAGGAUGCUUUGUUGCGAAAUAGGAAGCCGAUUAUAGAUUUGAUUUUGGAUUGGAGAUGCUUAAUGUGAGUCUGGAAGGAGAGUUUACAGUCUAACCAGACACCCAGGUAUUUGUAGUUGUCCACAUAUUCUAAGUCAGAACCAUCCAGAGUAGUGAUGCUGGACGGGUGGGUAGGUAUGGGCAGCGAUCGGUUGAAGAGCAUGCAUUUAGUUUUGCUUGCCUUUAAGAGCAGUUGGAGGCCACGGAAGGAGAGUUGUAUGGCAUUGAAGCUCGUCUGGAGGUUAGUUAACACAGUGUCCAAAGAAGGGCCAGAAGUAUACAGAAUGGUGUCGUCUGCGUAGAGGUGGAUCAGAGAAUCACCAGCAGCAAGAGCGACAUCAUUGAUGUAUACAGAGAAAAGAGUCGGCCCGAGGAUUGAACCCUGUGGCAACCCCAUAGAGACCGCCAGAGGUCCGGACAACAGGCCCUCCGAUUUGACACACUGAACUCUGUCUGAGAAGUAGUUGGUGAACCAGGCGAGGCAGUCAUUUGAGAAACCAAGGCUGUUGAGUCUGCCGAUAAGAAUGUGGUGAUUGAAAGAGUCAAAAUCCUUGGCCAGGUCUAUGAAUACAGCUGCACAGUAUUGUCUCUUAUCGAUGGUGGUUAUGAUAUCAUUUAGGACCUUGAGCGUGGCUGAGGUGCACCCGUGACCAGCUCUGAAUAGCGGAGAAGAUACGGUGGGAUUCGAAAUGGUCGGUGAUCUGUUUAUUAACUUGGCUUUCGAAAACCUUAGAAAGGCAGGGUUCGAUAGAUAAUUCUCCUUGAACCUACAAAAAAAGGCUCUGUGGCUGUAUUCUAGAGGUACAGGAGUCGUCCUCCCGCCCAAAACAGGAGAUUCACAUCUUCUCAGCUGUCCGACAACCAAAGGUUGUGUGUGAAAGCUUUGAGGACUGAGGUCCUAUCUGAUGGCCUCAAGUCUGUGAGAUCUAAAUGCAGGAUUGCUGUCUGACUGGUGUUCCCAAACAAACCCAGCCAGAGCAACAAACUCUGACCCAACAUGACAAAGAGAAUAUACAGUAAUGUUCCUGUAAAUCUAUUUGAUACAUUUUAUCGAUUUAGCAGACGCUCUUAUCCAGAGCGACCUACAGGAGCAAUUAGGGUUAGGUACUUUGCUCAAGGCCGCAUCGACUGAUUUGUUUCACCUAGUUGGCUUGGGGAUUCGAAGCAACGACUUUUCGGCCCAACACUCUUACCCGCUAGCUACCAGGCGCCCCACUGACAUAAUCCAACAGGUCUUUACUCUUUAAUUCAUAUACAUUUCAUUUCAGUCAACCUAUGUUACCAGACAUGUCUAUUGAAGAUGGAAGACCAAAGCAUAUUGAGUGUACAAUUUCAUUGUCACACACAAUAUGUUCAGUUUUAGGUAUGAUCUUUGUCGUGUUGUGUAGAGUAUGAUGAUGAGCUUCAGAGUACAGUAGGUCUAGGCUAUCAUGAUUCUGAACUACACUGAACAAAAUAUAAAUGCAACAUGUAACGUGUAUGUUUCAACAUGCAACAUGUAUGUUUCAUGAACUGAAAUAAAAGAUCCCUGAAUUUUUCUGUAUGCA
rnacentral:lncRNA from 1 species